rnacentral:piRNA from 1 species
UGGGAGAAGGAUCAACGCACAUCCAGGCCC